GUAUGGUCAGGCGGGAUCAUCUGCCAGCUGGAGGUCUCAGGACUGUGGAAAACCAUGUAUUCUAGCAGUAUAUUCUCUGGCCCAGCCGACCAUUACUAUCUUCAUAACGCUUAUGAAACUGUGCCUUCUCUAAGGCCAUUCACAGCUCUCGACUGGGCUAUCCUUCUUUGCCCUCUGUGCAUAAUUUCAUGCUUAUUUGAUCUCCCCAACCUCUGCACUGACCUGGCUUCUUGUGUUAUAUCCUAAACAACUUGUUCUUGGUUUCAUCCACUCAGUUCUCUGGAUCAGCCAGCUUCACACAGAAGUGACAGCACUUCUGAAAUCCCCUCUUAGUCACUUUUGUAACUUCAACCUCUGCUAAAGGUAGACACUCACUCUAUAGACCAGGCCUUGAGCUCAAAGAUCCACCUGCCUCUGCCCCCUGGCCCCCUCCACCUCCCCACGAGUGCUGGGACUAAAGGUGUGAACCACCACCACCACCACCACCACCACCCAGCUCCCUUGUUUUCUUAACAUUGAUCUAUUUAUAACUAGAGUGAGCAAAGCAGUGGUGGUGCACAACUUUAAUCCCACCACUCAGGAGGCAGAGGCAGGUGGAGCUCUGUGAUUUCGAGGCCAGCCUGGUCUACAAUAUGAGUUCCAGGACAGCCAGGGAUACACAGAGAAACCCUGCCUCAAAAAGAAAAUCAAAUAAACCCCCACAGAGUUACACCUUAUCCACUGCCCAAUGUCCUGCCAUUGGUUCCCAGACCAGAGCCUAGAGCCUGAAAUGGUCAUAUGCUCAGGCCCCAUUGCAAAGGACAGUGGGAAGGCACCUGCUUGUCUAACCUCUGGGGUGGCAAAGCUCGGGAGGGACUCCUCCUUAGGCAGCAGAGAUGCUCACUGGUGUGGGCUGUGCACACUCUGGUUUUCUUUCCUCUAAACUUGUGGGCCCCCAGGUUCAAGCUUUUAAUUUUCAGGUUUGCAUAUCUAUAAGUGCCUCCGUGUAUCUAUGUGGACCACAUGUAUGCCUGGUGCCUGUGGAAAUGAGAAGAAAGCAUUGAAUCCCCUCAAAAAGUGUUCUUAACCCCUUAGCCAUCUCUCCAGCCCCAGGUUCAAAUCCUGAGCACCGUCUGAACUAGUCCUGUGUCCAAGACAGUAUCAUCAAACCCUGCCCUUCCCGCCUUGUGCCAGCUCGCGCUUUUUCUUACAUCUGUAUGUUGAUGCUUAGCAGGUUCCUUGAAUGCUUGGUUUAUGUGCCUGGCUGGAGGAGACACCCAUGGCCUUGCAGAGGGAGCGUUCUGGUGGGAAAGCAGACACAACCCACCCUAGGCCCGUGGUUUCCCUGCAAGAAGCCCAGUGGCUUUCUGGAGGACACUUUUCCUGGAGGAAGUGACUCAAGCAGUGGGCAGAGACCACCUCCCUCAUUGCCGCUUUGGGUUUGGACCGCUUUAAACAGUAAAGUGACUGUCGACGGCUCAGUCUACAGGGAGGAGAACAAAAGACAGGGUCAGGGCUGGGCAGACUGGACAGGAGCAGCAUAAGCCAGGCUCUAUGGAAUGUUGGGUGAGCUGCUUGAGGAACUCCAAGGCCUGUCCCACAGUCUUCCAGCCUCCGACUCUCCGGCCCUCAGCGAGGAAGUCCCACUGGUUUUUUUGGUUGGUUUUUUUUUUUUUUUUUAAGGUUUUUUGGUUUUUUUUUUUUUUUCUCAUUCCUGUCUUGGGAGCUUUCCCCAACCAGGAGAGUGAAGAUGGGCGGAGCUGUCACACCAACUGUUAGCCUGCCUUGGCUGAGAGGAGAGGAGGCGAGGAGGGAGCGACCACCCAGCUUUAGUCGUUUUAAAACAGCUCCUGACCCUAGAAGAAGGGAAAUGGAGAUGAAGACCCAAUUGACUUGGUAUGAAGUUUAAAUGCCCCUUCAAGACUUGGGGGUCGAGGACGGUGAGAUUGGCUCAGUGGAUAGAUUCACUUGCCUCUAAGCCUGACAACCUAAGUUAAUAUCCUCUACCCACAUAUGGAAGGAAAAAAAUGAUUUCCAAAAGUUGUCCUCUGACCUCCACACAGAGACCAUGGCCUGUGCACCACCCCCCGAAAAUGUAAUAUAUUUUUUAAAAAGACAUGGGGACUUCCAUUCAGUGUCUCCCAAUGUUUGGGGAUUUCCUUUCCUUAUUUCCUUACUCCCUGUCGGUGCCCUAGAGGAGACAGAGAGAGUCUAACUACGGAGAGGUCAUUCUCUAGGUUGGUUGGUGGAAUAUUCAGGACUCCUGGGAAGGCUCCAACUGGUCCCUGAGAGUCCCAGUUUCCUCUAUCACACAGCAGAAGGUGGGGAAUGGCUGCCGUGGUUGGAAGAGCGCGUUGGUGCUGAGGGGGCCAGCUGGUUGAGAAGCAGGUGGAGAGGGAAAGGACCCUGCUUAAGAGGGGGCUGGGUGGGAAGGCUGGGUAAUUUAUGAUAUCAUUGUUCCCGCCCCUCUUCCCAGCCCCCUGCCACUUUACUGUUGCUAGGAGAUCCUGGCUGGCCCUGUCAAAUGGAAAACUCCUCCUCAGCCAGAGUAGGCCCUACCCUGAGUCACAACAGACCCUAAACACACCAGUGUCUCCUAUGAAUCCAUUCAGGUUCAGCCAGCUUGGGCGUGGGACUACCUGACCGAGCAAGUGCUUGUGUGUGUGUGUGUGUGUGUGUGUGUGUGUGUGUGUGUGUGUGUGUGUGUGUGUGAUAUGGAGGGAGCCAGGAGAUAGACUUUGAGGAUGGAGGAGCACUCUGAGGGCCUGCAGGUGACCCUGGGAACCAAGCCUGGGAAGAACCUAAGUUAAUAAUGCAAUCUUUAUCUUAGAGAGAGUGAUCUUUCAGCAGACUGAUCGAACACACAGGCUUCUCAGCCCACUCCCUCCAGUCAAGGUUAAGGCCUGGCAAAGGUGGAGGAAGAGAAGCUGAGGAGAAAAAGGCGAGGAGAGCCUAGGCACAGGAAGGUGACCGCUUCCCUCCCUCCCAGUGCUGAUUUCCUGUGGACCAGAUUCCAGCACAGUGGAGGGCCAGAGCUCAGGGAACAGACCCAGCAGCACAGCAAGUCUCCAAGGAAAGCUCUAGCAGUCUCCAGGGGCUGAAGGCAGGACUGGGGAAGCGGCUAGCCAGGCUGCAGAAGGCAAAUGCUCCCAGACGGCUGUCCAGCACGCAUCCGCCUUCCUAGCCAAGUUUCCUGGGCUCCUGCCACAGAUCUAAGCCUCAUCCUGACAUCCUGCCCUCUGUGCUCUGGGAUGGCCCAGGGGAGAUGCUUAGCCUUGGCUCCUUGUCUGCUGGUGGAGGGGACACACACCCUUUCUGGACCACAGACCAAAAAGAAGACCUGACGUCAUCCUGAGCACCCCCGCCAUGCAGAGUGUGUUCGCAGACUGCCAACGGGCUGGCUCCGGCCAGCAGAAGUGAACAGAGGUGGAGGUUCAGCCUGACAGCUUCUCCCCAAAGCCAUGGAGAGAAAACCUUACCACCCCCACCGCCCAGCUACUUCCAGCAAGUUGUCCAGCCUGACCCCUCUAUUUCCCCUGUUGUCUCUUAUCUGGGUCCCUGAGACCCACCCCAUCUCCAAUAAAGAACAUUGCAUACUGUGCAUCCACUACUGAACAACAUAGUCACACCAGGCAGGGCUCCCUAAAGCCUACCUGCAUGGCCAGCGUGGUCCGAGGACAGUGUGCUCUCCCCACCCUGUCUGCUAGCCUCCAGCUUCAUGGGAACUCCAUUAAUCAUGGGAUUCCGAGAUCAUCAGAGCAAUAGGAUCACUCCGUCUCCAGGGGAGCACAAGGCAAGAGCCAGAGCGGGACUGUUCUUCAGUCAAGGGGCAGGGGUUGCUGCCUCU
rnacentral:lncRNA from 1 species